GUAUAUGAAAGGGACCCUAAUUUUGCUUCAACAAAAUUCAUUUCAAGUCUUACGCGAAUCGAAACUUUUCAAAAUUAGUUCAAUCCAACUUAUUCUUACAGCAAAAUCCCACAGAAGAUCUUGAUUCUUUUUUUAAAUUUCGUCAUCCGGAUUUUUCAUCCGAUUUUAGCAGAUCCAAAAUGCUUUUCGCUGAUUGCAACUUCUCCAUACGUGUGCUAUUUAGAUAUAUGUGGUGGAACUUGUCAUCUUGAUUAUUAUUCUGCCGAUUGUUGCAUCCAAGAUGGGUUCUAUUCUGUCAUAAGGAGAUCCUCUCCUGAGAAGGUUAUGCAUCUUAUACUAUUUGCAGUUCCUUGGGAUCUUUUCCCCUUCCGGGUCUGACUUGGUGAUACAACUUUGCAAAUUUCAGUGAUCAAGUCAUAUCCUGCAAUCUUUUGAGUAUAACGACGCUGAAAGUGGAGUUCAUUUGAUGGAUGAUUGUUGGUUUUGGGCUGGCUGAAAAUGAAUCGAUCUCCUACAUUUUCUGUGAAGUCAGAACCUGAAUUAAAAGUUGAUGAAAGAUCUUUGCAGAGAUGGAUCGUUGCAUUUUGUAUCAUCAGGUUUGAUCUAGAGCAGGGUCAGCUCAUUGAGGAGUGUUAUCCACCUGGCUCUCUUAGCCAAAAUGAAGAGCUUGAAGUUGCCUUUAAUUCGUUUCCAGAUUCUGUUUCCCAGCAUCACAACCGGUCAAGCAUCCAUGAUUGUAUCUUCUUCUUCCGCACUAGGAGAAGGGAAACUUCUCAAGUGGUCAAUGUGGGACCGUUAGACAUGGUUGAAGUAGAAAAUAAUGAAGCAUUCCAAGAGCCAGUGACAGCAGGUGUGCUAGACCAAAGAAAUAGAAAUUUCCGUGGCUUUACCUCAAAAUACUUGUAUGGGUUUGUUUUUAAUAGGCAGAGACAUGACGAGAGGUUAAAGCGAGGUGGAGAGCAAAAAUCAGUGGUAAUUCUUUCUCAUAGCCCCUACUCUAGUGUGUUUAGACCUCUGUUACAAAUCAUGGGACCUUUGUGUUUUGAUGUUGGAAAGAAAGCUCUUAAUUAUAUUGCUGCCUAUGUAUCAAGGUGGCCUACUCCUAUUCUUGGUCAGCUAAUGGAGCUUCCUAUUGGGAAUGCGGUACUUAAAGUGAACUUACCGCCUUCUUAUAGCUUGCCAUCAGAUAAUGGUGUAUUCUUUGAGGACUCUGCUUCAUCACUGGCUCCUCUGCUUCCUUCAAAUCAGUCUGUACCAUAUGGUCUAUUUCAUGACUCAGAUCUUUUUGGCGCAUUUAGGGGGCUGUUGAUGCAGCUCUGGAAGCUGUGGGAGUUGUUAGUCAUUGGGGAGCCCAUUCUAAUCAUAGCACCAACACCUCCACAGUGUUGUCAAGCUGUUGCUGGUCUAGUUAGUUUGGUUGCUCCUCUUCUUUGCAGCAUUGACUUUAGGCCUUACUUUACUAUUCAUGAUCCAGAAUUUGCACAUUUAAACAGUCUUCCAGAGGGGGCUUCAUUUCCUCCGAUGAUUCUGGGUGUGACAAACCUCUUUUUCUUAAAAGCACUGCGUAAUAUGCCUCACAUUGUUUCAGUUGGUAGUCCUGCUUCAAAUUCAAUUCGUUCUGCCAUUGGUUCCAGGGCUUCAACGGGGGAAAAUCCUGCUGGACAUGAAGGAUUAAAUCAGCGUCUUUCUUUAAGGAAGUUUGCUCCUGCAAAUUUCUUGAAUGCUGUGAAGUUGAGGAGAGAUGGCCCUUUGUGUCUGAUGACAGAGCACAAAGAAGCCAUUUGGACAAAUUAUGCUGCAGUGACAAAGCCGGAUACGUCUAUCUUGAAUAGGCUUGUUGAUGCGGGCAUGUCUCCAAGGGUUGAGGAGUCUAUGUCAGUUGUUAACAAUGAUAUAUUGCGUCGCCAUUUUUUGGAGCUCACCACUAAUUUCUUGGCACCUUUUGGCCCUUAUUUCAAAGCAUCUACACCUUCUGAAGGAUCAUCUCCAUUUUCUGAUCCUCCUCCCCUACCCUCAUUCAAUACCGAGGAAUUCCUAUGGAGCUUAUCAGCAAGAGGUCCUGGCAAAUUUCUACUGAAGAGAAUGAGGUCAAAUUGGCUGGAGCUGUACAGGCGUUUCUUGAAAGGACACAACUUUUUGCCAUGGUUUCGGAGAAAGCGUGCUGUUGCUGAGCAAGAACAAUAUAAACUGUGGAGGCAAGCUAGUAUUAAUACAAACAUACAGCGGUUGAUAUCUAAAAUGUCUGAAUUGGAAAUUGUUGAUUCUUUCAAUGCAAUUGAAAGGCAGCUUCUAGGAGAAAUGCAGGUUGAUAUUUGCAAUUAUUUGAUAAAUGUAGAGCAUUAGUGUGAAGUGGAAGCAGGCAAUGCAAUCUUUGCAUUUCGGGGAAUAUGAUAUUUAUGUAAAUAGGAAGCGGCCUACCAAUCUGAAUGAUGUGGAUAAUAAAUGUUGCAUCCUAUGAUGAGAGCUCUGGAUUUUGGAGAUUACUCGGGGAAGUGUCUAUAGUCUUUUUAUUCAUCACUUGACCACGUUAUAUUUGGUAUCAAAUAUCGUUUGGACUUGUCUGUGUAUAUGUUCUUUUCCUUUUGUUUUAAACUUUGUAAUUACUAAUUUGGCAUUGACUGCCUUUCCAUAUUGUCUUUAAAAUGGGUAGGAAUUUUGCUUGAGUACAACUCUUGCACUAUCUCCAUACCUUAUGUCAUUAUAUUGUUUUUAUGUUCUAGCUAUGAAAAGUAUGUUCGAUGAAAUCAGCUCUUUUAAAUUCUGAGAUUCUCAGCACCUUACUUCAUUCUGCUCCCAUUAUUAAUUGAUUGAUAUAUUUGAAGUUGCAAAGCUAAGCAAACCUGCAAGUCUAUUGCCUUUGUAUUGGCUUUGUAUUACUGUUCCUCACAUACUCUUGCUCAAUUUUGAAUUCGAGAUGGACAGAAAAUAGAAUAUUUCUUUUCCUAUUUCAUAGAUUAUGCGUAAAAGGAAUAGUUUGUACUGAUUGGUGUUUCACGCUUCACGAGCUUAUUGCUGGUGGGAAAGUCUUCAAUAUUUUAGAAGCCAAUGAGUUAGCAUCUCAUAUGCCAAUUCUGUCGUGCACAUUCAAUGUUGUAACUGUUGGCACUUAUGUUUUGUUUGCUGUAGUUUUCUGUUUCUCAAUCUAGCUAUAGCUUUAUAUAUGCACUCAAUAAUUGCAAUUUUCUCCUG